UACGAAGGGGGCUAGCGUUGCUCGGAAUCACUGGGCGUAAAGCGCACGUAGGCGGCUUUCUAAGUCAGGGGUGAAAUCCCGGGGCUCAACCCCGGAACUGCCUUUGAUACUGGUAGUCUCGAGUCCGGAAGAGGUGAGUGGAAUUCCGAGUGUAGAGGUGAAAUUCGUAGAUAUUCGGAGGAACACCAGUGGCGAAGGCGGCUCACUGGUCCGGUACUGACGCUGAGGUGCGAAAGCGUGGGGAGCAAACAGG
rnacentral:rRNA from 1 species